CCGGGUGCAAGUCGUGGGCCUUCCCCAGCUAAAGCUGGUAACUAGCUAACUCAGUGGUCAUUGGCCCCUACAGCAGGAGUUGGGCCACUUUGAAGUUUUUCUCGUGGGAAAAAGUUGUGUCCAAAGAAGAAGAGGUGUAGCAAGGAGGUUCCUAUCCACCAUGGCUCCUACAUAGCCAACUGCACUCCAAUCCACCAGUGAUAAAGCACCCAGGAAACAACUAGUUACAAAAGCUGCUCUUAAGAGCACACCCUCUAUUGGAGGGGUGAAGAAACAUCACUGUCAC
rnacentral:lncRNA from 1 species